rnacentral:rRNA from 1 species
GACGAACGCUGGCGGCGUGCUUAACACAUGCAAGUCGAACGGAAAGGCCCUGCUUGCUGGGUACUCGAGUGGCGAACGGGUGAGUAACACGGGGGUGAUCUGCCCUGCACUUCGGGAUAAGCCUGGGAAACUGGGUCUAAUACCGGAUAGGAGCCAUUUUUAGUGUGAUGGUUGGAAAGUUUUUUCGGUGUAGGAUGAGCUCGCGGCCUAUCAGCUUGUUGGUGGGGUAAUGGCCUACCAAGGCGGCGACGGGUAGCCGGCCUGAGAGGGUGGACGGCCACAUUGGGACUGAGGGGCGGCCCAGACUCGUACGGGAGGCAGAAGUGGGGAAGAUUGCACAAUGGGCGCAAGCCUGAUGCAGCGGCGCCGCGUGGGGGAUGACGGCCUUCUGGUUGUAAACUCCUUUCGCUAGGGACGAAGCUUUUUGUGACGGUACCUAGAUAAGAAGCACCGGCUAACUACGUG